ensembl:lncRNA
GGGGCUCUCUGGAGAAGCUUUAUGGUGUCUUCCAGUACCUAAAGGGGCCUACAGGAAAGCUGGGGAGAGACUUUUUAGAUGGGCAUGUAGUGACAGGACGAGGGGAAAUGGUUUUAAACUGGAAGAGGGGAGAUUUAGACUAGAUAUUAGGAAGAAAUUCUUUACUGUGAGGAUGGUGAGACACUGCAACAGGUUGUGAACGCUCUUCCUAUAGCAGGGAGUUGGAACCAUAUGGCUUUAAAGUCCCUUCUGACCCAAACCAUUCUAUGAUUCUAUGAUUUAUCAGCAGUUUGCUUUGACCCAGGGUCAGCCCCAGAAGACACAAAGUGGUGGAAGAAGCUGUGAGCUCAGGUGUGACUAAAACAUCACUGGAGGGAUCACUGCUACAGACAGGCUGGGGGAAGUGAGAUGAAAUUCUUCCUCAACUUUUAUCACCUUUCAGAAGCACCUGAGAUGAAUCGAGAACCAAACAACACUGUUACAUCAGAAGAAUUUAAUUGUCUUUUUAUUUUAAGGCAUCACAGUAAAAUUAGCAGACUUGGAAAUUUCACUGCUGCAAAGAGAUUCUUUCUCUACAUUUCCCCAAGAUAAUCUGGAUAAUUUUUAAAGGAUACAGAGUUGUCGAGUUUCCUUUCCUACUCACUGUGGGGAAAAAAAUACGUUUUUAAAUGGAAAAUUACCCAUUUUAAAUGGAAUCUGGGUAUAAAGGACAGUUAAGCUCCUUCAGAAAUAAUCAAACCCAUAUUAUUGUCAACUCCUUUAAAGAGACACAUUUCUACAAUAAUUUCUAACUGAUAUGCUUUAUGUCUUUCUCGUUGCAAAGCCUUUCUCUCUAUUGCUAAAAACCAUGAGUUCUGUGAGUUAUGAUGGCUCUUUGCUGGGUGUUUUAUGAGAUAAAUGCAUCGUCCUAUGGAUGCUGCAACAUUUUAGUUGAAUAAUUUCUGUACAGACAGCAUAUUCAACACUGUGUAAUGUCUUUCAAUCCAACCUCAUCCUGACAAAGCUGUCAUAAAUCACGGUUUCUAAGGCAGUUCAACCACUUCACAAGACACAGAGCCUACAAAGCAACCUUAACUCUUCUUCUCCACUUUCAAAGGCACUCCAUUUCCCAUAGCACUGCACAGUAAAGUGAAGUGGAGACAUUUUAGCUGCUCAUGGAUGUGGCACGAUUGAGGAAGAAGGCAACCAUAAAGGCAAUUUUCCAAGUCAGAGGACGUUCAGGCUGUGGAAGGUCUAACAGGUCCAGAAAGUCCAACCUGACCCUGAAAUCUCAGUCUAUAAGUAAAAGAUAGACAGGAAGAAAGAGUCCUACAAAAGCAUCCUCAACUUCUCCCUGUAGCUCCCAUUGGAAGCCUUUUGCUUUUCAUGGGCAAAUGUGUAAUGGAUAGUAGUAAGUGAUGGUGAACUCAUGUGGUCUGCUCUGGCUUGGACAAAAUGAGUACAGCCAUCUGCCAGUCUGAGCCAUGUGUUUUCUUCUACCUAGAGUGAAAAAUUCUUCACUUUUUUUUCUUUUUUUUUACUGCUGUUUCUCCAUUAAUUCUGCUUGAAAGAGUAGAAAGCUGUUG